rnacentral:ncRNA from 1 species
GGGUUUCGAACCGUCAGGGAUUAAUAGGGAAUGCCGUGUGAUCCGGCAACAGUUACCGCUGCUGUAUGUUCCUACUCGGAGAGGGGCUUGUCCGCCUUUUUUCGGAGUCAAAAAGUUUUAAAACGAUGCCACUGGUGUUGCUGUCGCCGGGAAGGCUUUAAAACAGGAACGAGUCAGAAGACCUGCCUUGCCAUAU